CUUAUACGACAAUAAGCUGAGUGGUGAAAUUCCUUCGGAUUUGGUUCAGUUAAACUUUCUAUCAGUCUUCUCAGUGGCAAACAACAAUUUAUCAGGACGUACACGGAUAGGAAGGCUCAGUUUGCAACCUUUGAAGCGAGCACCUACGAAGGCAAUCCUUUCCUUUGUGGAUUACCUCUCGAGGAAAACUGCAGAAGGAGCACUGCAGUAUCAGAUCCAAAUCCAGGAGAAAAUAAUCUGUUCAAAGAUUCAUUUUUGGAAACUUUUGUUCCAUCAUGCAUUGUGGCAUUCCUAGGAGUUGUUGCUUUUAUUUACUUCAACCCCAGUUGCAGAAUGCUUUUUCAGUUUGUUGAAGCAAAACUCUUAUCUUCCAGAGAGAUUUGCCUAGUUAUUUACUGUACAUGAUGAAAAAAGUAACUGAGUGUGUGCAAGAUUAUAGAAAGAAAAUUAAAGCAUACUACUUUUUAUGACAUAUAUUUGGCAAUUUAACAGCAUCUUCUCGGAGCUCUGUGUUUAUUUCUACCCAUGCAUGUGUGAAAAUGUUAUAUUUCAAUCUUCAUUAUACUGAUAAUUUAAAGGUGAGUUUUUUUUUUUUUUAAUUUUUAAUUUUGCUGCUUUUAUUGUUUACAAGAAUCUACCCAAAAUUGUCUCUUGAAAAGUUUUUCAAUUGAAGAAGAGACUUAGAAACAAAUAAUCAUGAGCAUUGUGACUUGUGAAAAAUAAUACAAAUAGAUUUGGUUUCUCCUCCUUUUAACCAUCCAAGAGUUAAAUUGCAACAGUAUUUCAUUUGUAUCAGGUAAAAGAAAGGGAAAGAAAAGAUAUUUUGUACGAGACAGGGCAAAGGAUUAUCAAGUUUCACUCUACCUGCUGUCUUGUUUCCCCAGUGCAAUAUAUAUCCAGUUGAAGAUGUUACGAUGAGGUUUGUCCAGCAUUUUGGUUGCUUUCAAAAGCUUGCCUGCCCCCCAUCAGCUAAGGAGCAGCAAUUCUCUAAUCAAGAUUCAAUUUGAAUUCAGCCACCAUCCUUUCUUAGCCAGUGCCAUUGUGAAAAGAUUUUGAAGAGUGUAACGUCUGCAUACAUCCAGACUCUACCUAUGGAAUCAUACUGAGUAUGUUGAUUUUACGAGAAAGAGUGUCUGGAAAAGUGUAAUUUCAUAGCUUAUUAGAAUACUAGAAUUAACAAAAAGACUAAGACAUUUCAAGAGGCAAUUCAUUUAUAUUUUACUUUUAGUUCAAGUCUUAUCCUGGUGAUUUGUGACAUAAACUAUCCAAAAUGCAACUCAAAUCGCCGGAUAAUCCAAAAGUUUUGAAGCAUUUACAAGAAUACAUAAAACCCUUAAAAGUAAUUAGUAGAACUUGAUGAAAUGAGUUAUGUGAAGUCAAGUUAUUUGGUAACUAAAUCUUGAUUAACUCUUACUUUGGUUAUCUUUGAAUGGCUAUUAGCAAUGCAAUACGAUAUUAAAAU